rnacentral:rRNA from 1 species
UAGGGCCUACGGGGGGCAGCAGUAGGGAAUAUUGCUCAAUGGGGGAAAGCCUGAUGGAGCAACGCCGCGUGGGUGAAGAAGGUCUUCGGAUCGUAAAACCCUGUUGUUAGAGAAGAAAGUGCGUGAGAGUAACUGUUCACGUUUCGACGGUAUCUAACCAGAAAGCCACGGCUAACUACGUGCCAGCAGCCGCGGUAAUACGUAGGUGGCAAGCGUUAUCCGGAUUUAUUGGGCGUAAAGGGAACGCAGGCGGUCUUUUAAGUCUGAUGUGCAAGCCUUCGGCUUAACCGGAGUAGUGCAUUGGG